ACCAGAAGGAAAUGGAAAAUACAUGCAUCCGGUGGAAUUUCCUGCAGCACCGGCGCAAUCCCGGAAGUGGAACGUCAAGGAUAUAGACUACUGCUACAAGUAAUGUGUUUGUGUCUGAACAACCAGCCUAGCUAACCAAUCAGUGUCGGGUGAGAAGCUACUGGCAGCUACAGGCGGGGUUUAGGUGUGACGGUGGUUCAAAACAACGGCGGACGUGAUAGACAGAUGGUUGAUUCAAUCACCUGCCAGGUAUUUAGUGAAAGUGUUCCAAACUGUUUACAAUGACGGCUUCUCAGAUGGUUCUGUGUAACAUACCAUCAGGUUAGUUUGGGUCUUCUUCUCAGAGAAAAAAUUAUGAUGUAUGAUAUAGCCCAGCUCUCUCCUAAAAAUUACAUUCCACACAACUAAACUAAACUGCAUUUUCAAUUAUGUUUUAAGGAAGCGUAAUUUAACCUGGAUUCCGUUUGUUUGUUUCAUAUCACUAAUACGUUUCUAAUCAAAUCCUCGUAGGGAGGGGGUCAGGUGGAUGGGGAUGGCUCAAACAAACUCGGGACUCGGGAGGUUUGUGUCCUGUCUGGAACCGUAAGUCAACUUUGACGUACUUAACUUACGUCACCAUUGUAACAUACUUAACUUACAUAUGCAGCUUAAGUUACCUAACAAAUUACUUGAACCCAAACAAUGAUCUUUUUCUAAACCUAACCAAGUAGUUUUGUUGUAAUUCGUGACUUUAACCACGUGUUUAAAAGAAUGACCGUAUGUUUACACUGUAAACCGGGAUACUUUAACACCUAACAAGCUCUUCUUGCAUUAAAGCUCCUGUCCUCCAGAGAGUGUCUGGAUCACAGCAAAAGAUCUGGCACUCAAGUUUCAGACUUUCCAGGACAGCAAUAUUGGGAUGUUUGUAUCCGUGGCAACGAGUAAUCAGAUUUCACUACUUUAUUUUUGUCUUUUCCCCCAUGCUCUUGGAAACACACAACACACUUAGCAUCAAAGUACAUCAUAAGUGUGUAGUCAAAUUGACACUCCAUAACUCUGUUUCUCACAACAUGACAGACUUUAUAAAAGUACUGCAGUAUGAGGGGUUGUGGAGAAUGUAAUUUAUUGUUUCUUCUGCUGUAGUGCUCUCAGCCUCAGAGUUUCACGCUGCUCUCUCCUGUUUAUCAGAUCUACUUUGACUUUCAAGUUUUUGUCAACAUUUUCACCUCUCUUUCAUUCUAGUUUGGCUGUAGUAACGGUUUCUUCUGUGGACAAUAUUAAAAUGUUAUCAUUUGACUUUAUAAUUCUCACUUUAUUUCAGCUAUUUUCUACAGAUUAAAUCAACAUGACUCAUCAGCACAUAAGCGGAAGACCAUGCAUUUAAAACAAAGGCUAUAAGAAGGACACAUUCGUCUUGUUGCCCUUGGAGACUGUGGAAAUGUUCACAGCAAAGACAAAAAAGACAAUUGUGUCAAUCAACUCAAUUAUUGUACACAUCCAUAAUCAUUUUUAACUACCAACCAAGGUUGACAUUGUACUUUUUUUUAUAAGACUUGGAUCAGUCAGUGUUUUAUGAACAAGCCUUAAAUGACUGAAAAUAAAAUGGUUACUUGUCAUAAAAAAAAGAAGGUAAAUUAUUCAUACAGCAUUUUCUGACUUGUAUAUUUUACAUCAUGGUAACAACCACGUGGUCAUAAUUAGGAGAGUGAAUCUUGUGUUUUUCUUUAAGUUGCACUUAAAUAAAACAAAAUGGUCUAAAGAACAAUCAAAUCUGCGGUCAGCAACAAUCUGUAAUUUAGGGUAACUAAAUGGUAAUUUAUUGACCAUGCUCACAUGUAUUUUACUCCCACUUGACGUCAUACAAUGAUCACUCAAUGCUAAAUAACUACUAAUUUAUCAUUCAACACAUUAUUAGUAAUUUAAACAAUGUUUUUUUCUUUAGUAUGUGUUAUCUAGUUAUCUACUAUCCCCACUAUAUAUAAUGAAGUCCCCCUUUCUGUAUUUGUGCAUGUGUGUUUGAUUCAAUAUAAGCCUUGUUUUGGGACCCGAAUAAUUCAAAUACUCUAUCCAAUGAAGGCUAAAGAUCACAACAUAUAACAUCAUUUGACAUGUACUGACAUCAGUGUACCCUGAGGUUUAAAUAAAUGUAAAAAUGAUGAAAUAACAUGUUGUAUUUCAAGCUUGAUAUGAGACGCAGCAGGGGUUGUGGAUUUAUGUGAACUUUGAUUACUGGUCUCAUCUGUCUCUGGGGCACAGAGAGUCAGACUCAGGAAGGUCAAAAAGAAGCCCCGAGCCCCAAUCCUCCACCAGCGGAGUCAGCCUGACAUCCACUUUGCUCCCUUGUGAUGUAUGUACAAGAGAGCUGAAUCUCUGAAGACUCGACAACAACCAAACUAAUAGAGCUGAGAUCAGUUGGUUUGAAGUACUCAGAUCUCAAGCUUCCUCUCAGCUGUGCCAGUCAGCUGCCAUUACAAGCAUGACGGAUGGGCAACGAUCAAUAACCUGCUCCUCCAAUCUGUGAGAAAAUCUGAGUAGGCAAGCCAGAACAACAACCCAAGGAGAUCAUUUCUUGGAUGGCCUCGAAGCAGAAACCCUUUGAGAACAUGAUUUUUAAAAUUUUAUUUCAGAACAUUAAAAAAUAAUUAUACUGAAUUGAUAGUGUGCAAGGUUUUUGUAAUUGUCCCUAAAAUAUGUUUUAGCGUUCAUAAAAGAAAAGGUUUAACUGUACAAGAAUGACCAAUUUUUUGACCAAAAAGAAAACUGUCAAAACGGUUUCAUCCUUGAAUACAGACAUCAUUGUUUGUUACUGAAAGAACUCCUGAAUAUGUAUGUUGUCUGCAGUAGGCAACCUAACAUCCCACAUGGCAUUGCAUUUAAACCAUAGACUGUAUGAUUUAAACCUUGUUGUAUUUGUGUUUGUUGUCCUCUUUGUGGAUGGAGGAUGUUUUUGUGUUGAUAGUGUUUGAACAGAAAGCACAGCAGCCAAACGGAACAUUUCCCUUGUGGAGUGUGAGGACCCAUGUGGUGCUUAUAGUCUUUCAUUUGUGUGGGUGCUUGGUCAGACAGUCUCUGUAAUGCACUGGAACAAUAAAUGGCUUAGGCUGC